rnacentral:rRNA from 1 species
AGUGAACGCUGGCGGUAGGCCUAACACAUGCAAGUCGAACGGCAGCACAGUAAGAGCUUGCUCUUACGGGUGGCGAGUGGCGGACGGGUGAGGAAUACAUCGGAAUCUACUUUUUCGUGGGGGAUAACGUAGGGAAACUUACGCUAAUACCGCAUACGACCUACGGGUGAAAGCAGUGGAUCUUCGGACCUUGCGCGAUUGAAUGAGCGGAUGUCGGAUUAGCUAGUUGGCGGGGUAAAGGCCCACCAAGGCGACGAUCCGUAGCUGGUCUGAGAGGAUGAUCAGCCACACUGGAACUGAGACACGGUCCAGACUCCUACGGGAGGCAGCAGUGGGGAAUAUUGGACAAUGGGCGCAAGCCUGAUCCAGCCAUACCGCGUGGGUGAAGAAGGCCUUCGGGUUGUAAAGACCUUUUGUUGGGAAAGAAAAGCAGCAGGUUAAUACCCCGCUGUUCUGACGGUACCCAAAGAAUAAGCACCGGCUAACUUCGUG